rnacentral:rRNA from 1 species
UACCCGCAGCUCAAGUGGUGGCCACUAUUAUUGAGCCUAAAGCGUCCGUAGCCGGUCUUGUAAAUCUCUGGGUAAAUCCUGCCGCUUAACGGUGGGAAUGCUGGAGAGACUGCAAGACUGGGGAUCGGGUGAAGUGAGAGGUACUCCUGGGGUAGGGGUAAAAUCCUGUAAUCCUGGGGGGACGACCGGUGGCGAAAGCGUCUCACUAGAACGACUCCGACGGUGAGGGACGAAGGCUAGGGGAGCAAACCGGAUUAGAUACCCGGGUAGUCCUAGCUGUAAACGCUGCACACUUGGUGUUGCCCCUUCUUCGGGAAAGGGCAGUGCCGGAGCGAAGGUGUUAAGUGUGCCGCUUGGGGAGUAUGGUCGCAAGGCUGAAACUUAAAGGAAUUGGCGGGAGAGCACCGCAACGGGAGGAGCGUGCGGUUUAAUUGGAUUCAACGCCGGAAAACUCACCGGAGGCGACCUGUGUAUGAGAGUCAACCUGAUGAAUUUACUCGAUAGCAGGAGAGGUGGUGCAUGGCCGUCGUCAGCUCGUACCGUAGGGCGUUCACUUAAGUGUGAUAACGAGCGAGACCCCCAUCUUCAAUUGCUAAGCUAACCGUGAGGUUGGUAGAACUUUGAAGGGACCGCCAGUGCAGAACUGGAGGAAGGAGGGGUCGACGGCAGGUCAGUACGCCCCGAAUCUUCCGGGCAACACGCGCGCUACAAAGGACAGGACAAUGGGCUGCGACCUCGAAAGGGGAAGCCAAUCCCGAAACCUGUUCGUAGUUAGGAUUGAGGGCUGUAACUCGCCCUCAUGAAUCUGGAUUCCGUAGUAAUCGCGGGUCAACAUCCCGCGGUGAAUAUGCCCCUGCUCCU